rnacentral:rRNA from 1 species
CAUGAAGUUGGAAUCGCUAGUAAUCGCGGAUCAGCAUGCCGCGGUGAAUACGUUCCCGGGCCUUGUACACACCGCCCGUCACACCAUGAGAGUCGGGAACACCCGAAGUCCGUAGCCUAACCGCAAGGGGGCGCGGCCGAAGGUGGGUUCGAUAAUUGGGGUGAAGUCGUAACAAGGUACC